CCUACGGGUGGCAGCAGUGAGGAAUAUUGGUCAAUGGGCGUUAGCCUGAACCAGCCAAGUAGCGUGAAGGAUGACUGCCCUAUGGGUUGUAAACUUCUUUUAUAUGGGAAUAAAGUGCAGUAUGUAUACUGCUUUGCAUGUACCUUAUGAAUAAGGAUCGGCUAACUCCGUGCCAGCAGCCGCGGUAAUACGGAGGAUCCGAGCGUUAUCCGGAUUUAUUGGGUUUAAAGGGUGCGUAGGCGGGUUGUUAAGUCAGUGGUGAAAGUUUGUGGCUCAACCGUAAAAUUGCAGUUGAUACUGGCAGCCUUGAGUACAGUAGAGGUAGGCGGAAUGCGUGGUGUAGCGGUGAAAUGCUUAGAUAUCACGAAGAACUCCGAUUGCGAAGGCAGCCUGCCGGACUGUAACUGACGCUGAUGCUCGAAAGUGUGGGGAUCAAACAGGAUUAGAUACCCGUGUAGUC
rnacentral:rRNA from 1 species